UUGAUAUACACAUAGCCUUUGGGGUAUAUAUCAAGUGAUUCGCUCUUUGGGGGUAGCUUUGCACAUGUGUAUGACCAAUUUAUUUUUAAUUGCUCCCCUAGGGAUGCCAGUAGCAUUUGCAUUUCCAUCUACAUUAGCAUCAGCAUCAACAUCAACAUCACUAGAUAGUCAUUUUCGUGGAGUCAGUAUUUGCUCUUCUAGGUGGAUGCCAGCUUAUUUUCCCUUUGGGGGCCGCUCUGUGCAUUGUGUAUAACCAGCAUUUUUAUGACUCUUGGGCCUUCAGGAGUGACAUCAUAGAGCCUAAGAUGCCAACAUUGCUCUCAAGCUAUCAGAAUUUAUUAUAUACAGCUGAGAUGCCAGCAAAUCUAACAGGAUACACAUCUGAGUGUAAUGGGAUCUAUGCCUUGGAAAUUAAUUUGGAUUCUUAGGCAAUAAUAAAUUUUAGAGUCAGAAAUAAUGAAAUGGAUAGAAUUUUCAAAUGGGGCAUCAAUCAUAAUUUGACAAGUAUCAUAGAGAUAAUGAUAUCUGUAUUAAAGAGGCAUUUGCAUCCUUUGGGGAUUAUGGGACUAUUAUAUAGCUUUGUAUAGCAAAUGUUGACUUGAAUAAUAAAUUUUUUAUGUUUGAUAACAACGAUGUACAAUCAGUUAUUGGAAUGACUCAAUUGUGGUAGUUGUAUAAAGUGAAGAGCAUAAGAUUAUAAAAAUAGCUUGCUAUAAAUGUGUUAUACUUAUGGUGAUAUAUUAAUGGUGAAAUAGUAAUAGAUGUUAUAAAGGAAGAAUGAUUAGUUAGUUAUUUUCAUAGUUUUCAUAGCUUUAAGGGUUUUGGAUAAAGCGGUGGUUAAUUUUUUGAAAAUUAAGGUAAGUGUGUUUUUAAUUUAUAAAGGUUAUGGAGAAGAUAAUUCUAUUAGAUAUAAAUAGUUAAGUUUAUAAGAUAAUUUAUUGCUACCUCUACUAAGAUUGGGAAUAAAUAUAUAAUAUUUGGAUUUUAAGAACUAUUUAGUGGUGAGAGUGUGCCUUAUAUGUUAAAUGUGGAGAUAGAGAAAAGGAGGAAACUGUAAAUUUAGUAUAAUUAGUGGCAGAUUUAGUAAGAAUGCAAAAGUUGUGUACAAUAGUAUCUAUAUAUGAGGAAAGGAGUUUAAUUUCAGCGGAAGCGUGGUGGUUUCGGAUUAAACUUUAUGGCUCCUUAAGUUGUGAAAUUUUGAGGACGAAAUUCAUAUUUAAGGGGAGAGAAUUAUAACACCCAAAUUUUUGGAAAAAAAAAAUUAUGACACCCCAAUUUUUGGAAAAAAAAUUAUGGAUAUAUUAUAAAUUGGAGAAUUUAUUUAUAAAGAUUUGGGGAGAAAUUUUACGAUUAAUUGGACUUGAAAGUUGAAUUUUAGAAUUUUUUGCGUUAAAAGAGAAUUGUGGAAAAGUUGAAGGACCAAAUAGUAAUUUAGCAAAAAAAAUUUGUGCUGCCCACCUUUUUCCCACGUGAGUCAGUAGUUGGUUUUAAAAAAAAAAUUAAAAUAGCAGCCAAGGGAAGAAGAAUCGGGAAAGAGGAAGAAAAAAGGGGGAAGAAAUGAAAAGAAAGAAAGAAAGAAAACAUCAUGUGGUUGCUGCAUCAGACCAACUGAAUAUUUACUGAAAUUUGGCAAUAGUGACCUUACCAAGAUACAAAUCGAAGUUGAUUUAUUUUACAUGAAAAACUGAAUUUAAGCAGCUGCGCUGUAAUUUAGCAAUAAGCACAAGAAAUCCUCAAAAUAUGCAAUUCCUAUGAACAUCAUAACAAAUCAUUUGAAGACAGCAGAUAAUCCUCAUAAAUGGGCAACAGAAACCUUGAUCAAGACUAAUUAGAACAUAUAUUUAGCACAAAAUGGGAAAACCAAAAUCUGUGAAACUAGAAUUAUGUUGAAAGCAAUGCACUUGGAUCUUA
rnacentral:misc_RNA from 1 species